rnacentral:lncRNA from 1 species
CAACAUAUAACUCAUACCACAAAGCAUAAACACAUAUAUCAAUACAUGAUUCCACUAUACUAAAAUAACUCCAAAUAACUCAUGGUUGUUUAUACAAACUAGAACAUAGCAUAUUUACAAGCCAAUUCAAAUGGCCAAAAUCAUUACCAAAACAUAACCAACAUGACCAAAGUCCCUAUACAUGCCAAAUACUCAAAAUACCAAAAUUCAUAGGUACCAAGUGAUAGGUGGAUAGUGUGAAGCGAUCUUCGAC